GCGCGGCAGGACGGAAAGACCCCGGGACCUUUACUAUAGCUUGACAUUGGUAUCUGAAUUAGCUUGUGUAGGAUAGGUGGGAGCCGGUGAAGCCUAUACGCCAGUAUGGGUGGAGGCAAUCUUGAAAUACCACUCUGGUUGAUUUGGGUAUCUAACUUCGGACCGUUAUCCGGUUCAGGGACAGUGUCUGGUGGGUAGUUUAACUGGGGCGGUUGCCUCCUAAAGGGUAACGGAGGCGCCCAAAGGUUCCCUCAGCCUGGUUGGCAAUCAGGUGUUGAGUGCAAGUGCACAAGGGAGCUUGACUGUGAGACUGACAGGUCGAGCAGGGACGAAAGUCGGGACUAGUGAUCCGGCACUGGCAUGUGGAAGCGGUGUCGCUCAACGGAUAAAAGGUACCCCGGGGAUAACAGGCUGAUCUUCCCCAAGAGUCCAUAUCGACGGGAUGGUUUGGCACCUCGAUGUCGGCUCGUCGCAUCCUGGGGCUGUAGCAGGUCCCAAGGGUUGGGCUGUUCGCCCAUUAAAGCGGUACGCGAGCUGGGUUUAGAACGUCGUGAGACAGUUCGGUCCCUAUCCGCCGUGCGCGUAGGAUACUUGAGAAGGGCUGUCCCUAGUACGAGAGGACCGGGACGGACGAACCUCUGGUGUGCCAGUUGUCCCGCCAGGGGCACGGCUGGUUAGCUACGUUCGGAAGGGAUAACCGCUGAAAGCAUCUAAGCGGGAAGCUCGCUUCAAGAUGAGGUAUCCCACCCACUUUGUGGGGUAAGGCCCCCAGCUAGACGACUGGGUUGAUAGGCCGGAAAUGUAAGCCCGGUAACGGGUUCAGUUGACCGGUACUAAUAGGCCGAGGACUUGACUAC
rnacentral:rRNA from 1 species